rnacentral:rRNA from 1 species
GAUGAACGCUAGCGGCAGGCCUAACACAUGCAAGUCGAGGGAGAGGUUACCUUCGGGUAACCAAAACCGGCGCACGGGUGCGUAACGCGUAUACAAUCUGCCUUUCACAUAGGGAUAGCCCGAAGAAAUUUGGAUUAAUACCUAAUGGUAUAUAAGAGCGGCAUCGUUUUUAUAUUAAAGCUACGGUGGUGAGAGAUGAGUAUGCGUUCUAUUAGCUAGUUGGAGAGGUAACGGCUCCCCAAGGCGACGAUAGAUAGGGGUUCUGAGAGGGAUGUCCCCCACACUGGUACUGAGAUACGGACCAGACUCCUACGGGAGGCAGCAGUGAGGAAUAUUGGACAAUGGUCGGAAGACUGAUCCAGCCAUGCCGCGUGCAGGAUGAAGGUCCUAUGGAUUGUAAACUGCUUUUGUAAGGGAAGAAUAAGGAGUACGUGUACUUUGAUGACGGUACCUUACGAAUAAGCAUCGGCUAACUCCGUG